UGUAAGCGUAUACCAAAGUUGUUGCAGUUAAAACGCUCGUAGUCGGAAUUUGGCAGUUCCGGAUGUGUGCACGUCGUGUGCGCACUUCGCGGGGAUUGCUUUUGUGGUCUUGCGUAGGAUGAGGCUCUUUUAUUAGUGAACGUCCUCACGCAACCACUUUUUACUGUGAGAAAAUCAGAGUGCUCAAAGCAGGCAUUUGCCGUGAAUGUAUUAGCAUGGAAUAAUAGAAUAGGACUUGGUUCUAUUUUGUUGGUUUGUUGGGACUGAGUAAUGAUUAAGAGGGACAGUUGGGGGCAUUUGUAUUUCGGUGCUAGAGGUGAAAUUCUUAGAUUACCGAAAGACAAACUGCUGCGAAAGCGUCUGCCAAGGAUGUUUUCAUUGA
rnacentral:rRNA from 1 species